rnacentral:rRNA from 1 species
AUUGAACGCUGGCGGCAGGCCUAACACAUGCAAGUCGAGCGGGGUUUUCGGACCUAGCGGCGGACGGGUGAGUAAUGCGUGGGAACGUGCCCUUUGGUACGGAACAACUGAGGGAAACUUCAGCUAAUACCGUAUGUGCCCUUCGGGGGAAAGAUUUAUCGCCAUUGGAGCGGCCCGCGUUAGAUUAGCUAGUUGGUAGGGUAAUGGCCUACCAAGGCGACGAUCUAUAGCUGGUCUGAGAGGAUGAUCAGCCACACUGGGACUGAGACACGGCCCAGACUCCUACGGGAGGCAGCAGUAGGGAAUCUUGCGCAAUGGGCGAAAGCCUGACGCAGCCAUGCCGCGUGAAUGAUGAAGGUCUUAGGAUUGUAAAAUUCUUUCACCGGGGACGAUAAUGACGGUACCCGGAGAAGAAGCCCCGGCUAACUUCGUGCCAGCCGCCGCCGUAACAC